CAAUGCUUAGUGGCAGACGGGUGAGUAACGCGUAGAUAAUGUGCCCUCUUGCGGGGGAUACCGUUUCGAAAGGAACGUUAAUACCGCAUAACACCCUUGGUGGGCAUCCAUCGAGGGUCAAACUUCCGGGGCGGGAGGAGCAAUCUGCGUUCUAUCAGGUAGUUGGUGGGGUAAUGGCCCACCAAGGCGACGAUCGCUAGCUGGUCUGAGAGGAUGAUCAGCCACACUGGGACUGAGACACGGCCCAGACUCCUACGGGAGGCAGCAGUGGGGAAUAUUGGACAAUGGGCGCAAGCCUGAUCCAGCAAUGCCGCGUGUGUGAAGAAGGCCUUCGGGUUGUAAAGCACUUUUAUCAGGAGCGAAAUACCACGGGUUAAUACCCUAUGGGGCUGACGGUACCUGAGGAAUAAGCACCGGCUAACUUCGUGCCAGCAGCCGCGGUAAUACGAAGGGUGCAAGCGUUAAUCGGAAUUACUGGGCGUAAAGGGUGCGUAGGCGGUUACUUAAGUCUGUCGUGAAAUCCCCGGGCUCAACCUGGGAAUGGCGAUGGAUACUGGGUGGCUAGAGUGUGU
rnacentral:rRNA from 1 species